GCCUGAGUGGCUCAGUGGGUUAAGCGUCUGACUUCAGCUCCGGUCAUGAUCUCACGUUUGUGGGUUUGAGCCCCGCGUCAGGCU
rnacentral:tRNA from 1 species